AUUGAACGCUGGCGGCAUGCCUUACACAUGCAAGUCGAACGGCAGCACGGGUGCUUGCACCUGGUGGCGAGUGGCGAACGGGUGAGUAAUACAUCGGAACAUGUCCUGUAGUGGGGGAUAGCCCGGCGAAAGCCGGAUUAAUACCGCAUACGAUCUACGGAUGAAAGCGGGGGACCUUCGGGCCUCGCGCUAUAGGGUUGGCCGAUGGCUGAUUAGCUAGUUGGUGGGGUAAAGGCCUACCAAGGCGACGAUCAGUAGCUGGUCUGAGAGGACGACCAGCCACACUGGGACUGAGACACGGCCCAGACUCCUACGGGAGGCAGCAGUGGGGAAUUUUGGACAAUGGGCGAAAGCCUGAUCCAGCAAUGCCGCGUGUGUGAAGAAGGCCUUCGGGUUGUAAAGCACUUUUGUCCGGAAAGAAAUCCUUGGCCCUAAUACGGUCGGGGGAUGACGGUACCGGAAGAAUAAGCACCGGCUAACUAUGUG
rnacentral:rRNA from 1 species